CAGCCGCCGCGGUAAUGCGAAGGGUGCGAGCGUUAAUCGGAAUUACUGGGCGUAAAGCGUGCGCAGGCGGUUGUGUAAGACAGGUGUGAAAUCCCCGGGCUUAACCUGGGAACUGCGCUUGUGACUGCACAGCUAGAGUAUGGCAGAGGGGGGUGGAAUUCCACGUGUAGCAGUGAAAUGCGUAGAGAUGUGGAGGAACACCGAUGGCGAAGGCAGCCCCCUGGGCCAAUACUGACGCUCAUGCACGAAAGCGUGGGGAGCAAACAGGAUUAGAUACCCGCGUAGUCCCUGUCUCUUAUAC
rnacentral:rRNA from 1 species